rnacentral:rRNA from 1 species
AGUGAACGCUGGCGGUAGGCCUAACACAUGCAAGUCGAACGGCAGCACAGUAAGAGCUUGCUCUUACGGGUGGCGAGUGGCGGACGGGUGAGGAAUACAUCGGAAUCUACUUUUUCGUGGGGGAUAACGUAGGGAAACUUACGCUAAUACCGCAUACGACCUACGGGUGAAAGCAGGGGAUCUUCGGACCUUGCGCGAUUGAAUGAGCCGAUGUCGGAUUAGCUAGUUGGCGGGGGAAAGGCCCACCAAGGCGACGAUCCGUAGCUGGUCUGAGAGGAUGAUCAGCCACACUGGAACUGAGACACGGUCCAGACUCCUACGGGAGGCAGCAGUGGGGAAUAUUGGACGAUGGGCGCAAGCCUGAUCCAGCCAUACCGCGUGGGUGAAGAAGGCCUUCGGGUUGUAAAGCCCUUUUGUUGGGAAAGAAAAGCAGCAGGUUAAUACCCCGCUGUUCUGACGGUACCCAAAGAAUAAGCACCGGCUAACUUCGUG